UACGUAGGGGGCAAGCGUUGUCCGGAAUCAUUGGGCGUAAAGCGCGUGUAGGCGGUUCAGUAAGUCUGCUGUGAAAGUCCAGGGCUCAACCCUGGGAUGCCGGUGGAUACUGCUGGACUAGAGUGCGGAAGAGGCGAGUGGAAUUCCCGGUGUAGCGGUGAAAUGCGCAGAUAUCGGGAGGAACACCAAUUGCGAAGGCAACUCGCUGGGACGUUACUGACGCUGAGACGCGAAAGCGUGGGGAGCAAACAGG
rnacentral:rRNA from 1 species